rnacentral:rRNA from 1 species
GCGGACGGGUGAGUAACGCGUGGGUAACCUACCCUGGUACACACGGAUAACAUACCGAAAGGUAUGCUAAUACGGGAUAAUAUAUUUGAGAGGCAUCUCUUGAAUAUCAAAGGUGAGCCAGUACAGGAUGGACCCGCGUCUGAUUAGCUAGUUGGUAAGGUAACGGCUUACCAAGGCGACGAUCAGUAGCCGACCUGAGAGGGUGAUCGGCCACAUUGGAACUGAGACACGGUCCAAACUCCUACGGGAGGCAGCAGUGGGGAAUAUUGCACAAUGGGCGAAAGCCUGAUGCAGCAACGCCGCGUGAGUGAUGAAGGCCUUCGGGUCGUAAAACUCUGUCCUCAAGGAAGAUAAUGACGGUACUUGAGGAGGAAGCCCCGGCUAACUACGUGCCAGCAGCCGCGGUAAUACGUAGGGGGCUAGCGUUAUCCGGAUUUACUGGGCGUAAAGGGUGCGUAGGCGGUCUUUCAAGUCAGGAGUGAAAGGCUACGGCUCAACCGUAGUAAGCUCUUGAAACUGGGAGACUUGAGUGCAGGAGAGGAGAGUGGAAUUCCUAGUGUAGCGGUGAAAUGCGUAGAUAUUAGGAGGAACACCAGUUGCGAAGGCGGCUCUCUGGACUGUAACUGACGCUGAGGCACGAAAGCGUGGGGAGCAA